GCCCAGGUGGCUCAGUCAGUCGAGCAUCUGACUUUGGCUCAGGUCAUGCUCUCACACAGUUUGCAGGUUCGAGCCCCACAUUGGGCU
rnacentral:tRNA from 1 species